rnacentral:rRNA from 1 species
GAUGAACGCUGGCGGCGUGCCUAAUACAUGCAAGUCGAGCGAACAGACGAGGAGCUUGCUCCUCUGACGUUAGCGGCGGACGGGUGAGUAACACGUGGAUAACCUACCUAUAAGACUGGGAUAACUUCGGGAAACCGGAGCUAAUACCGGAUAAUAUAUUGAACCGCAUGGUUCAAUAGUGAAAGACGGUUUUGCUGUCCCUUAUAGAUGGAUCCGCGCCGCAUUAGCUAGUUGGUAAGGUAACGGCUUACCAAGGCGACGAUGCGUAGCCGACCUGAGAGGGUGAUCGGCCACACUGGAACUGAGACACGGUCCAGACUCCUACGGGAGGCAGCAGUAGGGAAUCUUCCGCAAUGGGCGAAAGCCUGACGGAGCAACGCCGCGUGAUUGAUGAAGGUCUUCGGAUCGUAAAACUCUGUUAUUAGGGAAGAACAAAUGUGUAAGUAACUAUGCACGUCUUGACGGUACCUAAUCAGAAAGCCACGGCUAACUACGUG